AGUGAACGCUGGCGGUAGGCCUAACACAUGCAAGUCGAACGGCCGCACAGUAAGAGCUUGCUCUUACGGGUGGCGAGUGGCGGACGGGUGAGGAAUACAUCGGAAUCGACUUUUUCGUGGGGGGUAACGUAGGGAAACUUACGCUAAUACCGCAUACGACCUACGGGUGAAAGCAGGGGAUCUUCGGACCUUGCGCGAUUGAAUGAGCCGAUGUCGGAUUAGCUAGUUGGCGGGGUAAAGGCCCACCAAGGCGACGAUCCGUAGCUGGUCUGAGAGGAUGAUCAGCCACACUGGAACUGAGACACGGUCCAGACUCCUACGGGAGGCAGCAGUGGGGAAUAUUGGACAAUGGGCGCAAGCCUGAUCCAGCCAUACCGCGUGGGUGAAGAAGGCCUUCGGGUUGUAAAGCCCUUUUGUUGGGAAAGAAAAGCAGCAGGUUAAUACCCCGCUGUUCUGACGGUACCCAAAGAAUAAGCACCGGCUAACUUCGUG
rnacentral:rRNA from 1 species